UGCCAGCCGCCGCGGUAAUACGGAGGAUCCAAGCGUUAUCCGGAAUCAUUGGGUUUAAAGGGUCCGUAGGUGGAUUAUUAAGUCAGAGGUGAAAGUCUGCGGCUCAACCGUAGAAUUGCCUUUGAUACUGGUAAUCUUGAGUCAUUAUGAAGUGGUUAGAAUGUGUAGUGUAGCGGUGAAAUGCAUAGAUAUUACACAGAAUACCAAUUGCGAAGGCAGAUUACUAACAAUUAACUGACGCUGAGGGACGAAAGCGUGGGUAGCGAACAGGAUUAGAUA
rnacentral:rRNA from 1 species